AUCGUUUGUGCGUAGUUUUCCAGAAUCGCGCGUGCCGAAUAAAUCAACAGUAUGCCAAAUUGUUCACCGUUUUUGUGAAACAGGCAGUGUAAGUGACAAGAAGCGAUCUGGACGGCCAUCAAGUCUGAGUGAUGAAAAUUUGAAUGAAGUUAGGCAGUGCUUAGAACGGUCACCCAGAAAGUCCUUAAGAUGAUUAGCACAUCAGACUGGAUUGAGUUAUGGAACAACGCAGAGGUGUAUGAGGCGGCUGAAGCUUGUGCCUUACAGAAUUCACACAAUGCACGAACUCAAGGAACCGGACAAAGGGAAAAGAUUACGAUACUGUGAAUGGUUCCGAGAACUUGUGAGGGACGGUGUCGGCAUCUUGGACAACAUUUUCUUCACAGAUGAGGCUUGGUUUCAUUUAAGUGGUUAUGUAAACAGUCAGAACAGUAGGUUUUGGAGCUCUGAAAAGCCACACUUUUUCCAUGAGGUGCCCUUACACAGUCUGAAGAUUGGAGUGUGGUGUGCAGUUUCACGUCGCAGCGUGGUGGGUCCUCUUUUCUUUAGAUAAACUGUUAUUGCUGAACGUUACCAGGAAAUCGUUAUGCAGUUUAUUGCAUUACUGGAGGAAACAGAACGUGAUUGCUGGUUUCAGCAAGAUGGGGCCACUGCACACAGAGCCAAUUCCACCCUGGCAAUGUAGGCUGAGUUUUUUGGUGAUCGUGUGAUUUCUAAGGGUUUGUAGCCACCUCGUUCCCCAGACCUAACGCCACCUGAUUUUUUUCUUUGGGGAUACUUGAAACAAAAAGUAUAUGCAAACAACCCUCAAACCCUGGAUGAACUGCAAACCAACAUUGAGAUGUGCAUUGCAACCAUACCCCAGGCAAUGCUUCGUCAUGUGUCUAGAAAUGUGAUUAAAAGAGUGAAUUUGUGUCACAGAGAAGGAGGAUCACACUUUCAACACCUGUGAUUUCCAUAUGGUUUGGUUUACAUUAGAUUUGUAUAUUACUUUAUAUUAUAUGUACAUUAAUUCUUUGGGUUGCAUGACUUCUGGAUCAUCCUGUAUGUGGUACUCUUGAAAAAUUAUUUUUAAGUGCUUUGUUUACAUGAUAUCUCCUUAAAACUGAUAGUAUUCCAGGGUGUUAUCAUUCUUGACUUACAGAAAAGCAUGAUUAUUACCAUGCAUGAUCUUGCUUUCUUAUUAAUGUAAGUGACACUGAUGUUGAAUGUAAUAGGUAACUGCCAGCCAUGACCCAAAGGCUUUCCAGUACAAUAUCCAGGUUAGAUUACAACCUCAAGGGGAAGAGAUCAUUAAAGACCUGGAAGAUAUCGUGAAAAAGCAACUUUUAUUCUUUUACAAACGCACAGGAUACAAACCACAGGCGAUAAUAUUCUUUCGUGACGGUGUAGGUGAAGGGCAGUUUGCACAGUGUUCCUUGGAUACAAUGCAACAAGUAAUAUGGUCCAGGAUUGGAAACCAAUAAUACAUGUGGGCUACUUAGUUACUAAAUACACAAUGUAACUUUGUAAGUAGACAACCUCUCACCAUAGUGAUCUCCAUUAUCAGGAAUCACAACUACCACCAGCUGAACUCCACCAUUUUUCAAUGCUGUAAGGAACUCCUCUAGUUUGUGUUUUUAUUUUUUGGUGGGUCCAUACGCUCUUGUGAAGGAUGUUUAAUAUCCAUCCCCAAACUUUCUCCCGCUUUCUUCAGAUUUGUUAUAAAAUCACUGUGACAUAAAUAUAAAAGAUUAAGACUUCAAAAUGUUAAGAGGAUUCAAUAUUCUACAGAUAAGAAUGAAGGUUACACCAUU